rnacentral:rRNA from 1 species
GAGUUUGAUCAUGGCUCAGGAUGAACGCUAGCGGCAGGCUUAACACAUGCAAGUCGAGGGGUAUAGUUCUUCGGAAUUAGAGACCGGCGCACGGGUGCGUAACGCGUAUGCAAUCUACCUUUCACAGAGGGAUAGCCCAGAGAAAUUUGGAUUAAUACCUCAUAGUAUAACGACUCCGCAUGGGGAUGUUAUUAAAGUCACAACGGUGAAAGAUGAGCAUGCGUCCCAUUAGCUAGUUGGUAAGGUAACGGCUUACCAAGGCUACGAUGGGUAGGGGUCCUGAGAGGGAGAUCCCCCACACUGGUACUGAGACACGGACCAGACUCCUACGGGAGGCAGCAGUGAGGAAUAUUGGACAAUGGGCGCAAGCCUGAUCCAGCCAUGCCGCGUGCAGGAUGACGGUCCUAUGGAUUGUAAACUGCUUUUGCACAGGAAGAAACAACGCUACGUGUAGCGUCUUGACGGUACUGUGAGAAUAAGGAUCGGCUAACUCCGUGCCAGCAGCCGCGGUAAUACGGAGGAUCCAAGCGUUAUCCGGAAUCAUUGGGUUUAAAGGGUCCGUAGGCGGUUUAGUAAGUCAGUGGUGAAAGCCCAUCGCUCAACGGUGGAACGGCCAUUGAUACUGCUAGACUUGAAUUAUUAGGAAGUAACUAGAAUAUGUAGUGUAGCGGUGAAAUGCUUAGAGAUACAUGGAAUACCAUUGC